UGAGGAAUAUUGCGCAAUGGGGGCAACCCUGACGCAGCAACGCCGCGUGAGUGAGGAAGGUUUUCGGACCGUAAAGCUCUGUCGAGUGGGAAGAAAUGUAUCGUGGCUAAUAUCCAUGAUACUUGACGGUACCGCUAAAGGAAGCACCGGCUAACUCCGUGCCAGCAGCCGCGGUAAUACGGGGGGUGCGAGCGUUGUUCGGAAUUAUUGGGCGUAAAGAGCGUGUAGGCGGCUGAAUAAGUCAGAUGUGAAAUCCCUGGGCUUAACCCAGGAAGUGCAUUUGAAACUAGUCAGCUUGAGUAGGGGAGAGGAAAGUGGAAUUCCUGGUGUAGAGGUGAAAUUCGUAGAUAUCAGGAGGAACACCGGUGGCGAAGGCGACUUUCUGGCCCUAUACUGACGCUGAGACGCGAGAGCGUGGGUAGCAAACAG
rnacentral:rRNA from 1 species